rnacentral:rRNA from 1 species
UACGUAGGCAGCGAGCGUUGUUCGGAGUUACUGGGCGUAAAGCGUGCGUAGGCGGUUUUGUAAGUUUGGUGUGAAAUCUCCCGGCUCAACUGGGAGGGUGCGCCGAAAACUGCAAGGCUGGAGUAUGGGAGAGGUAGGCGGAAUUCCUGGUGUAGCGGUGAAAUGCGUAGAUAUCAGGAGGAACACCUGUGGUGUAGACGGCUUACUGGACCAUGACUGACGCUGAGGCACGAAAGCGUGGGGGAGCAAACAGG